rnacentral:rRNA from 1 species
GAAGUAAAAAGUCUGUAAACAAGAUUUCCGUAGGUGAACCUGCGGAAGGAUCAUUACCGAGUGUAGGGUUCCUAGCGAGCCCAACCUCCCACCCGUGUUUACUGUAACCUUAGUUGCUUCGGCGGGCCCGCCGUUUACGGCCGCCGGGGGGCAUCAGCCCCCGGGCCCGCGCCCGCCGGAGACACCACGAACUCUGUCUGAUCUAGUGAAGUCUGAGUUGAUUGUAUCGCAAUCAGUUAAAACUUUCAACAAUGGAUCUCUUGGUUCCGGCAUCGAUGAAGAACGCAGCGAAAUGCGAUAACUAGUGUGAAUUGCAGAAUUCCGUGAAUCAUCGAGUCUUUGAACGCACAUUGCGCCCCCUGGUAUUCCGGGGGGCAUGCCUGUCCGAGCGUCAUUGCUGCCCAUCAAGCACGGCUUGUGUGUUGGGUCGUCGUCCCCUCUUCGGGGGGGACGGGCCCCAAAGGCAGCGGCGGCACCGCGUCCGAUCCUCGAGCGUAUGGGGCUUUGUCACCCGCUCUGUAGGCCCGGCCGGCGCUUGCCGAACGCAAAACAACCAUUCUUUCCAGGUUGACCUCGGAUCAGGUAGGGAUACCCGCUGAACUUACUGCGGGAA